AACGAACGUUGGCGGCGUGGAUUAGGCAUGCAAGUCGAGCGAAUCCCAGCAAUGGGGGAAGCGGCGAAAGGGGCAGUAAGGCAUGGGUAACCUACCCUGGGGACUGGGAUAGCCCUUCGAGAGAAGGGGUAAUACCGGGCGACGUGUCGGGCCGGCAUCGGUCUGCCACCAAAUGAAUUUCGCCCUGGGAGGGGCCCAUGUGAUAUUAGCUAGUUGGUGGGGUAACGGCCCACCAAGGCGAAGAUGUCUAGCGGGUGUGAGAGCACGACCCGCGCCACUGGCACUGAGACACUGGCCAGACACCUACGGGUGGCUGCAGUCGAGGAUCUUCGGCAAUGGGCGCAAGCCUGACCGAGCGACGCCGCGUGUGCGAUGAAGGCCUUCGGGUUGUAAAGCACUGUCGAGAGGGAGAAAAGCGCAAGCUUGAUCUAUCUCUGGAGGAAGCACGGGCUAAGUUCGUGCCAGCAGCCGCCGUAACAC
rnacentral:rRNA from 1 species